UCCUGUGAUUUGUUAGCUCACAUGGAGUGGCAGGAAUCAGGAGGGUGCUGAAACAACUGCCGGGGAGGAGGUGGAAAUGGUGAACAGCUUCCUUUCUCGAUGUGCUCUCACAACUAAGUACAUGAUGAAAUCUGGUAAGUAUUCCUGAUUUAUAUUACAUUCUAGUCUUUUAUCCUUUCUUCUUUUCAUUCUAAUACUUUGUACAGUAUGAGAUAUUAUUAAUUAUUUUUUCUAAUAUUAUAAUGCAUUAAUAAAACUCCCUUCUAUUUGUCUUAAAUUAAAGCUUGUGAAUGCAUGUACCAUGACCAUUAAUGGGACUUUCCUCCUUGCAAGGUAUGUUCUUUUAAAGCCCGGAAUGACAUGCUAACGAUCCACGCCAUUGGUUGGAACCAAUGGAAGCAGGAUGGCCUUCAUCUUGCUUUAUCCAGCAGAUAUGUCAAGGUAUUGACCAGAUGCCAUGUGACAAAGCUGACAAACAAUAUUAGUUCUGUGUGUAAAUGUGGUUGGAAAACAUGACUGACAACAUGAUUAUCUCAUACUAUGCUUUUCAUGAUUUUCCUCACCUUUCUAAGAUUUUAAGAAGAUGGCAAAGUUUGUUUAUUUAUUUUACUGUAGACUUUCUAAAAGGCUCAAGAAGAGUCUCGGAGGCUGGAAGAUGGCUUUGAGCUCUUUCAAUGCACUACCUAAAUUAAAUAUGAAAUGUUUACUUAUAUUUUUAUUGUUGUUGUUUUUAUUAAGAUUCUCUAGGAACCCAACGCGAUGACCAGCAGAAUCUUCAGCUGUCCAUUGAACAAAUGUUCCUUAGUGUUCAUCAGAAAAAAGCCAGCCUUUAUACUCAAACUGGUAUGUUGAAAACGCAUGUAAUAUUUCUACCAUCCGAUGUCUGCAUACACACAUAUGUGCCACAUUUCUGUGGUUUCUAACUUUAUAGAUAGCAACAAAAUUCGACACUUGCGUAGAAGGAAAUUGAGGGAAGAGAGGUGUCUAACUCCUGGAGACAGUCAAGCUCUAUAAUGAGCAGGUGUCUAAUGAGGAGCAGAUCGAUGUGGUGAAGGUGGAGAGCAGACUCUCUGUGGUUGGAGGAGACACUGGGGCAGAUCUGAUAUGGCCAUGGGAAGUGCACAGCAGUGAAUCCAGCAAUAUCCUCACCAAGAAGAAGAUUUUUGAUGCAUACAUGUCAAAAAUGAGGCUUCAGGAAGAAAGGGUCAUUGUGGUGAGGGAGAUGAGACAGCACUGCACCUACCUCAGAGGACUGGCUGAGAACAUCAGGACAAAGAUGUCAGAAAUGUCCACUGUCAGGACCAGUGGUAGGUUAACUUGUAUGUCCUUGCAGCUACAGUUUGGGGCAUACUAUGG
rnacentral:lncRNA from 15 species